GAUGACCAAGAAGAAUUCCUAGGCCAAGGGAAGCAGGUGAGCCAAGGUGCAGCUUUACUGCGGGGGUCCCACUCCCUGAGGCAGCAUUUAUCCCAUGAGUGUUUGCAUGAUGAAUUAAGGCCCCACAGACCUGCUAGUGGACUCUGUGAUGAAAAUAGUGUGUGGCCAGGCUCCACAUGGGCAACUAGCGACCCCUUGGUGAGAUUAUGACACCUCUCGCUUCCCCCUGUGUAACCAGGGAAGCUAAGCAUGUUUCUUUCACUUCACCCAUCUUCCUACAUUUUUUCCUUCCUAGUUUCAGAAACAACUCUCCAAGUUCCAUUUCCAAGGAAAGUCUUAACCAUUUGUCCCUUCUGGCGUACCCUCUUUCAUUGAAAUCCAUGCAGAAUAUACCAGAUCCCCAAAAUGGAUGGAAGAAUGCGCCUAAAUUGAGCUGUCAGGCACUUGGCUGCGUAACCAUGCUUUCUGGAUUGUGGUGUUGAAAGUGCCAUCCUGUGUGCUCUCUCCGGAUGGCUGUCACGUACUUGCGUCUGAGAACAGUGUAUGGACCUGCAUGAGCACUAAUCAGUCUUCCUAGCAGACUUGCUCUUUCUCUGGUCGUAUGCCGCCAGAUCCUCUGAGAAGAGAGUGGGCCUUUCCCCUCAAUGGGCAAAGAACCAGCUUCCAUUUUAAAAGCUCUCAGAAAAAAAAGAAAGA
rnacentral:lncRNA from 10 species